rnacentral:rRNA from 1 species
GACGAACGCUGGCGGCGUGCUUAACACAUGCAAGUCGAACGGAAAGGCCCUGCUUUUGUGGGGUGCUCGAGUGGCGAACGGGUGAGUAACACGUGAGUAACCUGCCCUUGACUUUGGGAUAACUUCAGGAAACUGGGGCUAAUACCGGAGAGGAGCUCCUGCUGCAUGGUGGGGGUUGGAAAGUUUCGGCGGUUGGGGAUGGACUCGCGGGUUAUCAGCCUGUUGGUGGGGUAGUGGCUUACCAAGGCUUUGACGGGUAGCCGGCCUGAGAGGGUGACCGGGCACAUGGGGACUGAGAUACGGCCCAGACGCCUACGGGAGGCAGCAGUGGAGAAUAUUGCACAGUGGGCGGACGCCUGAGGCAGCGACGCCGCGUGCGGGAUGACGGCCUUCGGGUUGUAAACCGCUUUCGCCUGUGACGAAGCGUGAGUGACGGUAAUGGGUAAAGAAGCACCGGCUAACUACGUG